rnacentral:rRNA from 1 species
CCUACGGGAGGCAGCAGUAGGGAAUUUUCGUCAAUGGGCGCAAGCCUGAACGAGCAAUGCCGCGUGAACGAGGAAGGUCUUCGGAUCGUAAAGUUCUGUUGAAGGGGAAAAAGAGCGGAGAGAGGAAAUGGUCUCCGAUUGAUAUUACCCUUCGAGGAAGUCACGGCUAACGACGUGCCAGCAGCCGCGGUAAUACGUAGGUGGCGAGCGUUAUCCGGAAUGAUUGUGCGAGAGGGGUGCGUAGGCGGCCUGCUGAGGCUGGAGGAAAAGGGGCCGGCUCAACCGGUACAGCCUCGGGAAACUGGCGGGCUCGAGAGCGUGAGAGGUCGGUGGAACUCCAUGUGUAGCGGUAAAAUGCGUAGAUAUAUGGAAGAACACCAGUGGCGAAGGCGGCCGCCUGGCCUGUUACUGACGCUGAGGCACGAAAGCGUGGGGAGCAAAUAGGAUUAGAUACCCGGGUAGUC